AGACACCAGUCAAACAAAAACCCUUCAUCAAAACCGGUUUCGCUUGCUCUUUUCUGUUACUACCGUCAACAGCAGGUACGCAGGAAAAAUGACACGUGUUGUGCAUUUGUUGAAGAAAUAACUUUCGCCCCAAAAGAUGCCAUCGCUUCAUCAUACCCACCACCAACAACCGGCAUUCAGACACAUCAGUGCAUGAUUGUGGAAACUGGUAUUACCGCGCAAAGAACGCAAAGUACAAGGUCCUCCUUAGCCCCACCAGAAAAGAUAACCAAAACUCUUCCCUCAGGGCAUACAGCAAUCGCUCAGGCAAGCAUCGCUCCAUAAAGCCGUUCGAACAGUGCAAGCAUUUCUUGCCGUUGCAGGUCAAAUCGACGGUCAUGUUCAGCGGAUGUGAUUCAGGUUUCGCGUUCUGUCAGCGCGUGAAGAAAACGGAAGAUGUGUUACGAAGAGGUGCGAGUUAUACCAUUGUCUUUGUUUGAACGCCUGAUUGUCUUUUUGUCGCGUGGUGCCGAAUCACAUGCUGACCUGAGAUUUUAUGCCAUUUUAAAAACGCUUUCCCAAGCCUAGAAGGGGGAUGCGCACAAGGGAGAGUUUCGAAUAUGAUUUAAUCUUUUUUCCAAUACGAGCGUGCGGAUUGUUGUACCAAUAACUCUAGGCGGUAAGCGGCAAAACAACAAAUCAAACUUUAGCAGUUUUAGACACAGGCAGAUGGAAAAAAGCAAAAAAGAAACCACACAUAAAACACAAGCAUAUCAAUCGUGAUAAAGUGAACGAUUUUACCUCGUCGUCAUCGUAGUAGGUUUAGUUUCGGUACUCGGUAGGUGAUGGUGCUACACCCGCAGGAAAACAAUCGUAUGACGACGACGACGUCUUGCCACUCGCUCAACUUCGACUACAACAUUCGCGUCGCAGCAUUUCUCAUAAGAAAGUUUUAUCUCCACCCUUGUUUGCUUCACCACAAUCGCCCCCCCCGUUCCAUAACCGAUCGUGGGCCAAUAAGGUGAUUGGGUUCGUUUGUUCACCCGCAGCAGCAACAUCAGCAACAGUUCAUCAUGGCUUCCGCGGACCGUUUGGAGAAUGAUAGUUUGGCUCGGAGAUUGCGCAACAGCGAUGGUCGUUUUGGGUCGCCUUAUAUCUCGGAUUGUCGGGUCAGCUCGAACGUCGAGGCUAAUGUGGAAGCUCAACUAGUGGCUUUCUUGGCUGUUGGAAAAUGCGUUUGAAUCGGUGGAUGCGCGAACACCAAGCGAUAGAAAUCGGAAUAAGCGACGGAGAUAAGUAUGUGACAUUGGUGGUGAAUUGAUAAAGAGAUGUUGGAAAUGAGAAGAAAGCAAAGCCUGCCAGUGUGAUGUCACAUAUGAUAAAUAAUAUCGUCUUUUGUGGUUGCAUUCAUACGAAAACAAGAAUGAUGUAACAGUUCCGUGUGGAGAAAACUAUUUAAAGUUGCAACAAGCUGACUUCCAUCUCCAAAAACGUUCAUGUCGUGAAAAAAAUCGAAUGUUCGUGUCCCAAAACAAAUGGCUUUCUGUCCGCAUGAUUUAAAAAAAAAAUUAAUUAGAAUUUAAUAUUAUCAGUAACAAGGUUGUGCUGGUUGUGCUGUAUGUUAAUAAGGAAAGCAAGAUGUCUUCAGAGGAAUCUCAUAACAUUUAUGUCUUCUUCCUGCGGCAGUGCGAGUGCGUUGGUGCAGUGUUCCUAACACAGGGUCGUGAAAUAAAACGGCUAGCCAGAAAGGGAGCACGAAAUCUUACAUUUAUUUAAAGGGCCAUUUUCCACGCGUUGCAACACCACGCAUAACCGACAGAUAUGCUCCACGACCACACCAGGACAGUAACCCGCAUCAAACCCGCAGCAACAGGAACAUAAUAUAGAGAAGAUUUUAAAAUUGAUCGCCAUGCCAUAGGUCCUCGACAACGGCGCUGCCAUUUUCGCAUCGGGGUUUUGCCGACUGAGUAGCUUCCGCUCUAGUAAAAGACACCACAUUCACUUACAGAGACGAAGGAAGAGAUAUAAAAUCACCAGUCUCCAAGAAGAUAGCAAAGAAGAGCAUCAAACAUUACAGACGCUUAAUUCUUUCCGGGACACGCGACGUCGUUUGGCGUCCGAGUUGCAGGUUUCUGUUGUUGCUGCGGGAAUACUUAUUGUCAGCAUUCGCCAAGAUACCAACGGAGAGCUUGGAACGUCUGGAAAUUGCAUCAGCAUUUCGAGGUAGAAAGGAAACGUUUUUUGGAGAUAUGGAAAAAACAGUGACACGUAACGUGAAAAUUACUCCUCAUUUACACUUUAUGGGACUGCCACCUACUCGCCUUAAGGGUGGUAAGAGUAAGAUGCAGAGGAAGACGGGAAGUAAGUACGCAAAGGAUUGGGCGGUCUUUUGUUAACAAUUUUCAACCAUCAAACUGUAACUGGAACUUAAGCAAGCAAAAGACCCACCACCGAGCACGUUGUCGCAUGGACUGAGUCCUUCCCUGCCGUGUGCGCCAAAAGGGUAAAGUAAAUGAGUAAACGAAAAAAAGAAGUUAAGAAACGAACUUACGACCUGCUGUAUCCACGAUAAAAUAUUUUACCACCGUGCCAUGGAAGGCUUAAAUAAGAGCAGUGGCAUGUGCGCUAUCCAUAGAGCUGCAAUCAAAAUGGUUCGGGCCUAAAAUAACAGAGAAGCGGAACGGUUAAAGGGUGAAAUUUAAAAUUUGAAUUGCUUUCCUAUAAUUUACAGUAUAAACCCGUUGAA